rnacentral:pre_miRNA from 1 species
CAAAUACUCCCUCCUAUCCAUAUUACUUGUCGCUCAAACGGACGUAAGUAUUUAGAUGUAUUUUAGUGCUAGAUACAUCCAUUUGAGCGACAAGUAAUAUGGAUUGGAGGGAGUAUCAA